GUGCAUAUUAUUUACUGGAAAGGAAGAAUGGCGAGUAAAAUAACCGUUGUGGCAGUUAUGACUAUUGCCAUCCUAAUCUUCUUAGUCGAUGCUGGAAGUCAUUAUAAGGAUUCAGAUUCCACGAGGCUCAAAAGACAUCUGCUUCCUUACCCUCACUUCACACAGUUUUUCACUCCCAAACCAAGUGGAUUAUCUGAAUAAACUGUACACCAUGUACCAAGAUCCUGAGUUAGAUUCAGUGUCUACACGAGACCUGCUACCGACUCCUACUUCGUUUGCACGAAUACCAAAUAACGCAGGCACCGCGUUCUUUUGACGCCAACCAUUCGUGUUUCUAGUGACCUUUCUGAGAGCACGCUUCAAAGUAAGAAACGCUAACCCCUUUUAAUACCACUUGUGACUCUAGGAAAUGAAACUAGAAAUGGUGAUGGGGUUUUAUUAAAAUUAAUUCUUGUUAAUAGUUUUAUGAUAUCCGUUUCACUAGCCUAAUAAAAGGGUAUGAAGUUUAUUGACAUUUUUCCUCCCUGUAUGUUAUCCUUAUAUACAUAGGAGUUUAUUAUUAAAAACUAAUAUAUAUUUGUUAUAUUCGUACAUUUACAUGUGUGUUCAGACGCCGUGGUGUAAUGAGCACAAGGGAUGUGAAGUUAGAAUGACCCAAAAAUUCGUCUUGAAACCACCCUGUAU